GGCCGGUCUGCGUACAGUGGUGUUAAGUAAUCACAGCCAGUUACAGAUUUCCUUGUUUCUUCUCCACCCCCACUGUUUCACUUGACUAGCCUUAA
rfam:Callithrix jacchus chromosome 20, whole genome shotgun sequence